UACGUAGGGUGCAAGCGUUGUCCGGAAUUAUUGGGCGUGAAGAGCUCGUAGGCGGUCUGUCGCGUCUGCUGUGAAAACUCGGGGCUUAACCCCGGGCCUGCAGUGGGUACGGGCAGACUAGAGUGCGGUAGGGGAGACUGGAAUUCCUGGUGUAGCGGUGAAAUGCGCAGAUAUCAGGAGGAACACCGGUGGCGAAGGCGGGUCUCUGGGCCGUAACUGACGCUGAGGAGCGAAAGCAUGGGGAGCGAACAGG
rnacentral:rRNA from 1 species